AACAAUGCACACAACAGCUCCAAGAACAAAUGAUGUAACUAACACCCCUCUGAGUGCCACCAAGCAGGGCCAGAGCAGCCUGCUCAUGUCAGGCUCUUCAUCCAAGGAGGCUGUCAGAAACCUGAAAACCCGAAACCAAAAGCUUGCAGCACAUCCAGUGGCACCAUCACCAAGGAGGAGACAGAACAGGCAGGCUGAGCAGGACACAGCUCCCAGUCACAGAAUCCACUCUGGAAACCACACCUGUGAUCCAUCAACACCACUGCUCCAGGGGCCCCAGUGCCAUGGGGUGGCUGAAGCUCCUCUGCCACCUUAGACAAGCCCAAAUUACUGCCCUGUUCAGGUGACAGCUACCUGCACUUCUCUGUAAACACAAAAUUACAAUUAAAUACUCCAACACAACUGAAGCUGGCACCAGUUUUGCUACUAUAGUGUUAACUGACAGAUUAAUUCAAUGGCUUUGAGGACUCUGCCCACACCACCUAAUCCAUAAAUUGUACUUAUGCAUAGACUUUUGAGCAAUUCUUACUUGAUAUCUACUUCAAGUAUUUGCAGCACUUUGGGGGUUUAUUUCUGUCAUGCUUACUGCAUCUACUGCAGCUGACAACAGAGCCAAAAAGUUCAACCAGAGAACCAGAAAAAUAAAUUGCAUUUAGGAAUGGGUGGGAGGUUGCUCACUGAUGUUUAGUAUCAGUGAACACAGUGGCUGGCUUCAGGGUACUUGCAAGUAUUUUUAAGCCAAAGAAAGUUUAGCAGGUUCUUUCCUCCACGCAAUUCUUUCUCUGAGGAGUUUUUAAAGAGAUAAGCAUUGGGGUUUACUCAUCUGAGAUUACAUGCAUUGCUAAAGACAACUGGAUUAUACCUCUUCUGUAUUAAAAAAAAUAAGUCUGACUUGUCAGUAUCUAGAGAGUUAAAAUCCUCAGAUUAAAAAUGCACUUAGUACAUUCAAAAAGAUGAGAGCUGGUGACCAUCACAAGUACUGCCUCCAAAUACACACUCACAGAUUUACAGCAAUAUAAAAAUACAAGGCUGGCAGGAAACUGAAAUGAGAAGAAAACACAUAUGAAUCAUGCACACAACUAAUUAAACAUGAAAAUUAUCUUCACAGUCACUUACCUUCACCAUUGUAAGUUAACAUUCAGCAGAAGAAAUUUGAGAAGUGUAUUUUAGACAUAUGCAAUCUGGGAGUAAUAUUUCUUUUAAACUCAUGUCAGGAUAACACAGCUUCCUUUCCAAGCACUGAUUAUUUUGGGCUCUCCUAAGUGAAGCGAAAAAUGCUUAAGA